rnacentral:rRNA from 1 species
CGCGUGAGUAACCUGCCCUGGAGUGGGGAAUAACAGCUGGAAACAGCUGCUAAUACCGCAUAAUGCAGUUGGGCCGCGUGGCUCUGACUGCCAAAGAUUUAUCGCUCUGGGAUGGACUCGCGUCUGAUUAGCUAGUUGGUGGGGCAACGGCCCACCAAGGCGACGAUCAGUAGCCGGACUGAGAGGUUGGCCGGCCACAUUGGGACUGAGACACGGCCCAGACUCCUACGGAAGGCAGCAG